rnacentral:rRNA from 1 species
AGUGAACGCUGGCGAUAGGCCUAACACAUGCAAGUCGAACGGCAGCACAGUAAGAGCUUGCUCUUACGGGUGGCGAGUGGCGGACGGGUGAGGAAUACAUCGGAAUCUACUUUUUCGUGGGGGAUAACGUAGGGAAACUUACGCUAAUACCGCAUACGACCUACGGGUGAAAGCAGGGGAUCUUCGGACCUUGCGCGAUUGAAUGAGCCGAUGUCGGAUUAGCUAGUUGGCGGGGUAAAGGCCCACCAAGGCGACGAUCCGUAGCUGGUCUGAGAGGAUGAUCAGCCACACUGGAACUGAGACACGGUCCAGACUCCUACGGGAGGCAGCAGUGGGGAAUAUUGGACAAUGGGCGCAAGCCUGAUCCAGCCAUACCGCGUGGGUGAAGAAGGCCUUCGGGUUGUAAAGCCCCUUUGUUGGGAAAGAAAAGCAGCAGGUUAAUACCCCGCUGUUCUGACGGUACCCAAAGAAUAAGCACCGGCUAACUUCGUG